UCGAGAAUUUUUCUCAAUGGGCGAAAGCCUGAAGGAGCGACGCCGCGUGGGGGAUGAAUGGCUUCGGCCCGUAAACCCCUGUCAUUUGCGAACAAACCUUAUUAUUUAAAAGAUGGUGAGCUGAUUGUAGCGAAAGAGGAAGGGACGGCUAACUCUGUGCCAACAGCCGCGGUAAUACAGAGGUCCCAAGCGUUGUUCGGAUUCACUGGGCGUAAAGGGUGCGUAGGUGGCGGGGUAAGUCUGAUGUGAAAGCUUCGAGCUCAACUCGAAAAUGGCAUUGGAUACUAUUCUGCUAGAGGUUUGGAGGGGGGACUGGAAUUCUCGGUGUAGCAGUGAAAUGCGUAGAUAUCGAGAGGAACACCGGUGGCGAAGGCGAGUCCCUGGACAACACCUGACACUGAGGCACGAAAGCUAGGGGAGCAAACAG
rnacentral:rRNA from 1 species